UGAUGCUGGCAAGACCAAGAGGGAA
rnacentral:piRNA from 1 species